GACGAACGCUGGCGGCGCGCCUAACACAUGCAAGUCGAACGGAUCAUUUCUCGGCACCGAGGGAAGCAGGGGACUGCUUAACUGGGUGUUGAGAAAUGGUUAGUGGCGGACGGGUGAGUAACACGUGAGCAACCUGCCUUACAGAGGGGGAUAACACCGGGAAACUGGUGCUAAUACCGCAUGAAAUGGUGAGUGGACAUCCACAUACCAUCAAAGAUUUAUCGCUGUAAGAUGGGCUCGCGUCCGAUUAGGUAGUUGGUGAGGUAACGGCCCACCAAGCCUGCGAUCGGUAGCCGGACUGAGAGGUUGAACGGCCACAUUGGGACUGAGACACGGCCCAGACUCCUACGGGAGGCAGCAGUGGGGGAUAUUGCACAAUGGGGGAAACCCUGAUGCAGCGACGCCGCGUGAGGGAAGACGGUUUUCGGAUUGUAAACCUCUGUCUUCGGGGACGAACGAAAUGACGGUACCCGAGGAGGAAGCCACGGCUAACUACGUG
rnacentral:rRNA from 1 species